AAGUCGUAACAAGGUUUCCGUAGGUGAACCUGCGGAAGGAUCAUUACAAACAAUUGGUUAACGCCAACAUUUCUUGUGCAAAUUACCGACGCUGCCAGUUUUAUGCUGGGCCCUAGGGCUCUCAUGAUACCUGGCAGUAGACCGUGUCAACACGAUGUUACAAUUGGUGGUUCAAUACAACAUUGUGAAAAUGCGGUCGACCGGCUUUUCCUAUUAUUCUGCUUUUCCUAUUAUUCUUUGGAUGAUAAGUGAAGUCAAUGUUUCAAACUUUUAAACAUCAGUCUUAAAUAUCCGUCAUCAGUCAGUAACAACAGGUGAAGUCUGAUGACAUAAAAGGGUUAAAAACUUUUAGCAACGGAUCUCUAGGCUCUC
rnacentral:misc_RNA from 1 species